rnacentral:misc_RNA from 1 species
GAUGAAGAACGUAGCGAAACGCGAUAGGUAAUGUGAAUUGCAGAAUUCCGUGAACCAUCGAGUCUUUGAACGCAAGUUGCGCCUCAAGCCAUUAGGUUGAGGGCACGUCUGCCUGGGCGUCACAUAUCGUUGCCUGAUGCCAGUUUCCUCGUGAUGGGUGACUGUGCAGGGCGAAUGAUGGCUUCCCGUGAGCAUUGUUGCCUCAUGGUUGGUUGAAAAUUGAGUCCUUGGUAGGGAGCGCCGUGAUAGAUGGUGGUUGAGUGACGAACGAGACCCAAUCAUGUGAGACCCCUACCGAAUUUGGCCUUCAUGACCCACAUGCGUCUUUGGAACGCUCAUGACGAGACCUCAGGUCAGGCGGGGCUACCCGCUGAGUUUAAGCAUAUCAAUAAGCGGAGGA